UACGGAGGGGGCCAGCGUUGUUCGGAAUCAUUGGGCGUAAAGGGCGCGUAGGCGGCUUUGUAAGUCCGUUGUGAAAGUCAAAGGCUCAACCUUUGAAAGCCGAUGGAUACUGUGAGGCUAGAGUCCGGAAGAGGCGAGUGGAAUUCCUGGUGUAGCGGUGGAAUGCGCAGAUAUCAGGAGGAACACCAAUAGCGAAGGCAGCUCGCUGGGACGGUAUUGACGCUAAGGCGCGAAAGCGUGGGGAGCAAACAGG
rnacentral:rRNA from 1 species